GUUGCAGAAAGAUGCCAGAAAACCUACAUUACAUCACGAUCAAGAAUGAACCUUGGAGUGUGAUUGAUUGAACUGAAGGUUGAUUGAACAUUUUGAAUGUACACUCUUAUGCCAAAAGGGGACUGCCCCCUAAUUGGUUUUUGUCAAUGUGCCCAGCAAACAUUGGUUUUGCUGUAUCUCUCUCUUCUAUUCCCUUCUUCUCUCUAACUAUUGUAGCUUCCUCUUAGAAGGGGAAAUUUUGUACGUACCUGCAGUUAGAAAAUUUAGAGGUGCAGGAUGAUUUAUGUUUAGUGAUCAAUUGGGGAGACUAGUCCCCUAAUCAUCAUGUGGGGGAUUGUGAAUUUUAGAUUACUCUAUUCUGCUUAGUCUGGCAAUAAGGAAUGUAUACACCUCUACUUAAGAAUUAAAAGUGUUGAAGAUGAUGGCCUAUGAUAGACAUGUGCUAGCAAAAUGACAAAUCAGAAACAACUGACAGACCCCCUUGGCUGUCCAAAGUCAAGCUUAAGCUACCAUUGGUACAUGUGGGACACAGGAAGUGAUGUAACAAAAGUCUAUAUAUUCGCGUCACUUCCUCUUGCCAUGCUCUUUUUGGCGAUGGAGGAGUUGAGUUUGGGGUCUCUCUCUCAGAGAUGCUGGGUUCGAAUUGCAGUGUGGCUCGUUGGUGUCUUGGUGUCUGAGCAUGGGUCAGAUAUACUGACAGACAGAGAAAAUGGAGGAAUUGGAAUAGGAUAUCACUUCAAAAUAAAACUUAACUAGAAAAAAUACGCAUUACUAAAAUUUUCAAACAAACAAAGGAAAUUUACAACUUUUUUGAGUGUUCAUAUCUUGUACCAAGCUUAUACCUAAUUUACAGGUAAGAAAGUCUCUGUAAUGUCCUCAUUGUUAAUAUACAUCCCUACAAAAUCAUUCUUAGCCUUCCAUUUUAACAAAACUGAUGGGGACUGUCUGCAUUUUGGGUACCUAUUUUUCCCCUACCUUUCUCUUCAAGUUUCUCAUGCAAAUGAAAGGCAGAGAAGAAAGAAACUAAAGAAACAGUGAAGUAGUAGGAGAAAUCACCUUCUAACCCUUUUUCAUUGUUUCUGUUGCUAUCUUUAUAAUGUACAUGUAGCCAGCAGUGAGCCUUCCAGGCUUUUAACCACAUUUUUAUGGAAUAUUUGGAUAUAUUAGUAUAAAAUGUAAUUUUCAGAACAGGAACUAUCACCUACCAUAUAUUGGACACAUCAAAGGAAACAUCCAUUCAUUCCAAAGUCCCCAGAAUUCCAUCAGAAAUGUAUAAAUAUAAAGGCCUUUUAAUAAAAGCCAUUUUUUAUUAUAGAAAUUGUUUAAAUUUUUUCAUUACCAAAUCUAAUCUAGUCAAAAUAGAAUGAAAAAGGUAAAUAUGAAAAAAUUUAUUAUACAUUUUUCUGAUGGAGAUGUUAUGUAUACCAUAUGAAUCAAUGCAUCAAUAUAUAUCAAUGACCAUAAAUAAAAAUGUUCUAAAUUGAAAAAUGCAUAUUAAAACAAUUUUGAAGUUCUCCCUCAUAUCUAUUAUACUGGCAAAUAAUAAUAAAAAAGUAAAAUAACAAAUUUUGGAGGGAUUGUGGGAAAACAGAUAUACUUGUACACUACUGAUGGAUCUAUGAUUUGGUCUAGCCAUUCUGGAAGAUGAUUUGGAACUAUGUCCCAAAAGUAACUAAACUGUAGAUAUAGCCCGAUUUAUAUAUACCACUAAUAAGCUUAUAUCUUAGAGAGGUCAACAAUUUUAUCAGGGCAAGCAGCUAUGUCCAAAAUAAUAUUUAUAGAAGCUUGGUUCAUAGUUCCCAAAAUUUGGAAUCUAAGGGGGUUGACUGCCCUCCAUGGGUAAUUGUUAAACAAGUUAUAGAAUAUUAAUGUAAUUGAAAAGGGUUACAAAAUAAAAAUGGCAAAAUGAAGCAUUUCAGAGGAAAUUACGAAGACUUUUCUGAACUGUGAAUUUUAGUUUUACUCCACCCUGCUUAGUCUUUAGAAUUCUAGCAACCAAAAAUGUAUACACUCCCACUUAAGGAUUAAGUGUGAGAGAGGAAGGCCUAUGACCCACAUGUGCUAGCAAAUGACAAAUCAGAAACAACUGACAGUCCCCUGGGCUGUCCUAAGCCAAGCUUAAGCCACCAUUGGCACAUGUGAGACACAGGAAGUGAUGUAAGGAACUGCCUUUAUAUUUCAUGUCACUUCCUGUGAGGGGAGAGCUUUGGCGGAGUUGGCCUUGGAACUCGAGCCUGGAGGAACUCCUCAGACUGCUUCCUUUAGAUGGUCACAUUGUGUGUGAUAAGACUGACUACCCUUUCCCUUGGCGUUCCUGAGAGGUCCCUUGGCUGAGGCCUCUGAACUCCUGCUUGGCUCAGACUAGGCAGAGUAGUUUUUAUUCUCAUUCCUCUGUCUUUCAUUCUUAAUUUCUUCCUUCUGUUGUAAAUAAACCACCAUAAAAUUCCAUUCUGACUUGAGUAUUUCAUUGGGAUUUAGAAUUUAAAUUCCUGGUGACCAACAAAAAUUUAUAUUCAGUCUCAACCCUAAAUUUACCCUUACCAGGUCAUCACAUUCUUUUAAAAGAUAUUUGCUACUAAGUGCCUUUUUACUUUUAUAUUAGAGAUCAUGUCUCAUGA